GGAAUCGGAGUUUUGGAUAAGGUGCUUUUAGCUUUUAGCUUUUAGCCUUUUAGUCACAUGAAGGUGGUACAAAACCCAGACAGUGGUGCAAAUAGUGCUGGUAUUGGAAACAUGUUGAUACCUGUGGUUCAAUUAUCAUUACAGGCCAAAUAAUGAUGAUAACACAACUCACAGUAGCUGCAGGUGGGGGUUGAGGCAGAUUAAUACUUGUUAUAUAUAUAAACAAGCUUUGUGAGCGGAAACUGGGUUUUGAUGCUUGCUGCUACUCCACCUCAAAUGUAAGUAUGCAAUGGUGCAACGGUGCGCAUACAAUAGAGGGAAAGAAUUUGCUUCCUCAACAAAUCUUUGCCCUUUUAUUGCCCCAUACUCACAUCUUCCCUUAAGUCCAAAGGGUCAUGUUUGUGGCAAAAGAUGUUUAUGGUUGAAGUUUAUGCCUUGUUCAUCCAAAAUGAAUGCCAUCCUCUCAAGAAGAUAAUAGUAAAGGUCAAUGAUAUAUAAUAAACUAAAAACUAUGGGGAGCAAUCGUGUUGUUGACUAAUGUGUUGCUUUUUUACAUUGGGG
rnacentral:misc_RNA from 1 species